GUCCACGCCGUAAACUAUGGAUGCUAGCUAUUAUUCACAUCGACCUGAGUAGUAGCGUAGUAAACGCGUUAAGCAUCCCGCCUGGGGAGUACGGUCGCAAGAUUAAAACUCAAAGGAAUUGACGGGGACCCCGCACAAGCGGUGGAGCGUGUUGUUUAAUUCGAGGCUAAGCGAAGAACCUUACCCAGGUUUGACAUCCUGCGAAAUUUGCCGAAAGGCGAAUGUGCCCUCGGGAACGCAGUGACAGGUGAUGCAUGGCCGUCGU
rnacentral:rRNA from 1 species